GGCGAGGUGGCGGAAUUGGUAGACGCGCUACUUUGAGGUGGUAGUGUCAAUUGCGACGUGUGUGUUCGAGUCCCAUCCUCGUCA
rnacentral:tRNA from 1 species